UUUGUUGAGGCAGGAGCUCUUAUGCUGGUUUUUGUUAGUUUAUUUUUUAUUUUUGUUCGUAGGCACAAGCUCUUACUCUGGUUUUACAUUUUUUUGUUGUUGUUUCUUCAAGUUGUCUUCAAGAUUGUCAGCAAUAAAUUGUCACUGAAUCAUCAGUAAAGACUUGUUGGAAGAUAUCAGUCAAGAUGCAGAUAUAGAAGAAUUCCGAAAUAAUUGGGCUGUGCCUGAAAAACCGGGGAGUAGUUCCGAAAACCAGAAGCAACAACUCGACGACUGGAGCGACCCUAGCUUUCUGUCAAGCGCCGUCAACAUAUUGCAACGGAGACUGCAUCGCAUGACCACACACAGAUUCCGGCAAGAAGAUGGGUCUGAUUUUAAACUGUUUAUGAACCAUGUAAUUCUUUUAACAGAUCAUUGUGACAAACUGUUAGACUGUUAGAAAAUCAUGUCUCAGAAACGAAGCUAUUGUGAUUUUCGGGAAAAUAAAGCUAAAAAGUCCAACCUUGCAUCUUGUUCAAACAAGGAUUCAAGGAGAUUUUAUUGUCAUUCGCAUCACAUGUGGUACAUGAGGUGAAACGAAAUUGUGAUCUCACAAUCCAGUUUACACCCAAGAGCUGUUGUUAAAAGAGAGAUAUAUAUAAAAAAGAUAACAAAAUAAAAGAAUACAAUAAAAAAUAGAAUAUACAAAAUAGAUAAAGAUAAAUACCCAAAAAAUAAAUAAAGAGAGUAGACAGGUAGCAGCAACAUAAAGUCCAGAGUGCAUGUUUGCUAUAGCAGAAUGAUAUGGAAUUAGAGCAGUAAAAGAUAAAGUGUCUCAGUGCGGGUAAAAUGACAGUGUUUGUAAACAGUAAUUUGUCCUUGUGUGUCAGUGCAGUGUGUUCUUAUGUGGAGUUUAAGA